AGAGUUUGAUCCUGGCUCAGAACGAACGCUGGCGGCGUGGAUAAGACAUGCAAGUCGAGCGCUGAUUUCAGGGUAGCAAUAUUCUGGAGUCGGAGCGGCGCAAGGGUGCGUAACACGUGGGUAAUCUGCCGUGAAGCCUGGAAUAACUCGCUGAAAGGCGAGCUAAUACCGGAUGUGACGUUGGGGAGGCAUCUUCCUGACUUUAAAGCCGGGGACCGUAAGGCCUGGCGCUACACGAUGAGCCCGCGGCCUAUCAGCUAGUUGGUGAGGUAACGGCUCACCAAGGCUUAGACGGGUAGCUGGUCUGAGAGGACGACCAGCCACACUGGAACUGAGACACGGUCCAGACACCUACGGGUGGCAGCAGUCGAGAAUUUUUCUCAAUGGGCGAAAGCCUGAAGGAGCGACGCCGCGUGGGGGAUGAAUGGCUUCGGCCCGUAAACCCCUGUCAUUUGCGAUCAAACCUCAUCAUUUAAAAGAUGCUGAGCUGAUAGUAGCGAAGAGAAGACCAUGCUCU
rnacentral:rRNA from 1 species